AUUUCUUAUCAGAGGCAGCAAAACCUGGCAACUCACACACACGCUCCCUAUAUUAGGAUCACACAUAAAGGCUCGUGCGUUACCACAACGACAUCCGUCAUCACUGCUGAGUGCAAUAUUUCUCGCCUGGAGUUUUGCCUGCCCUCGAAAAAGUCAGCAAAAUGAAGGUGUUCGCUACUGCAUUUGUGGCUGCCGUUUCAUUGGGUAUACUAAGCGCCGUUCCUGCCUCCUUGGAUUGCUCUGAUGAGAUUGUUGUGCCUGUUCUGGAAGCUUGUAAACAGGAAAUGACUGCGAAUCCUUUAUUGAAACCUCUGUGGCUCCCAGACGACGCACCCGCCCCUCUCGAUUCAAACAACGCUACCCAUCAUCGUGCUUUUUGCUGCGCUACUCAGGUGGGCUCCAGCUGCAUUAGAAGACACCUAGGAGUGCAGUGUCCUGUCCUUGUCGCAGAGGUGGAACGCACGGCAAACGAAGAUCUCAAGCGUAUCUUCCCAGACAGGACAUGCGAUCUCACCCCGUGCUAAGUACUGAUAAGCGCAUGUCCUACGUGAUGAAGCAAGACAUAUUUACAAGAGGGAUAUCUCGGAUGCAGGAAGAAUAAACAACUUGAAAAGCGA